CCCCUUUCCUUUAUAAUCUCUCCCUUAUUCAUCUAUCACCUUCACCCCAGCAGCAAAACACCUUCGGUAAAGUUUCUGCACUCAAUUCAUUUUGUUUCCUCUCACACCAAUCUCAUAUGCUCUCUGCAUAUUCUCUGUAGAGCUUUGGAAUAUCAUAGAUACCUCUGCACAUUAAUUCUUCUCUACAGAAACACCAACAUCACAGAAUACAAUCCUAAAGGUUUUACCUUUUAAAAUCCAACUUAUUUUCCUCUGUAAAUGACAAUAUGAUGCCUCCUAUCCAUGUAUGCUGUUUUGCUUCUACAAACUUAUCAAACCAACAAAGCAUGAGUAUAAACUGCAUAACUUAGAUACUACUACACAUUUGUGCUUUUACAAUGUUAUACAUGAAGAAAGACUUAAAAAGAUGAUAAAACAAGAUUUGUAAAGUGAUAAAAAAUUGUAAUUGUUAUGUCGACUUGUGUUGUUGGUGUUGCUUGCUGUCAUGAGAGUCGAGUCAACAGGGGAGGGCAGCGGCGGCAUCUCACUGUCGUUCGCCGGAAAUAGGGGGAGUCAGGGGAGAGAGAGAGCAGGUGGCGGUCGGCGGUGGCUUCGAGCUACUGUCUGGCCGGAGUGUGUGAGGCAGAGAGGGAUGAGGCGGUGGAAUUGGGGCCUUGACUAGGGCUUGGCGGCGGCGGCCUUAUGGUCGUGCGGUCGCCGAGAAUUAUAGGAGGGAGUGAGACCGAGAAGUGGGGAGGGUGUCCAGGCGGGGGCGACGUCGUGUGUGGCGACGUCGUUGCCGGAUUUGUAAGCUAGGGCACGGUCGCCGGAGUGGGGUCUGGUAUUUGGGGAUCUAGGGCUGGAGGCGGUGUUGUCACCUGAUAUACGGGUCGACGGCGGCUGAAAUAGAGUGUGAGGCGGAAGGAGAUGAGAGGAGAGGCGGCGGGCAGCCGCUAUCGUCGGGGAGCGGCGCAGGGCCUGUGUUCAGGGUGUGUGUUUUGUUUUGGUGGGAGAAGAGGUGAGAGACGAGAGAGGAGAGAGGGAGUUGAGAGGGUGACGGGUGAGAGGUGACCGGCGGCGAUUGUCGUCGCCGGAGGAGACGAGAGGUAGAGGGAGAUGGGACGGCCGCGGCAGCGGAUUUUGCAGAGAAGAGGGGUGGCGCGGUGUAGCCUUAAGAGAGAGAGAGAUCCGCCGUGAGGGUGUGUGAGGUGUGUGUGCAUGAGUUGUGUUAACGAAGAAGAAGAUAUUUUGGGCCUAAAUUUAUUUUACAA
rnacentral:lncRNA from 1 species